rnacentral:rRNA from 1 species
UACGUAGGGUGCGAGCGUUAAUCGGAAUUACUGGGCGUAAAGCGUGCGCAGGCGGUUUUGUAAGUCUGGUGUGAAAUCCCCGGGCUUAACCUGGGAAUGGCGAUGGAGACUGCAAGGCUAGAGUUUGGCAGAGGGGGGUAGAAUUCCACGUGUAGCAGUGAAAUGCGUAGAGAUGUGGAGGAACACCGAUGGCGAAGGCAGCCCCCUGGGUCAAAACUGACGCUCAUGCACGAAAGCGUGGGGAGCAAACAGG